rnacentral:rRNA from 1 species
UACCAGCACCCCGAGUGGUCGGGACGAUUAUUGGGCCUGAAGCAUCCGUAGCCGGUCAUGCAAGUCCUCCGUUAAAUCCACCUGCUUAACAGAUGGGCUGCGGAGGAUACUACAAGGCUAGGAGGCGGAAGAGGCAAGCGGUACUCAGUGGGUAGGGGUAAAAUCCUCUGAUCCAUUGAAGACCACCAGUGGCGAAGGCGGCUUGCCAAUACGCGCUCGACGGUGAGGGAUGAAAGCUGGGGGAGCAAACCGG